GACGAACGCUGGCGGCGUGCCUAAUACAUGCAAGUAGGACGCAGUUGCGAACGGGUGAGUAACGCGUAGGUAACUACCUAUUAGAGGGGGAUAACUAUUGGAAACGAUAGCUAAUACCGCAUACUAGUAGAUGGACCUGCGGUGUAUUAGCUAGUAGGUAGGGUAAUGGCCUACCUAGGCAACGAUACAUAGCCGACGCGAGAGGGUGAUCGGCCACACUGGGACUGAGACACAGCCCAGACGCCUACGGGAGGCAGCAGUAGGGAGUCUGCGGCAAUGGGGGUAACCGUGACAUGGCAACGCCUCGUGAGUGAAGAAUGUUUGCGGAUCGUACAGCUCUGGUGUUAAGGAAGCUGUACGUAACCAGAAAGGGACGGCUAACUACGUGCCAGCAGCCGCGUUAAUUC
rnacentral:rRNA from 1 species